rnacentral:rRNA from 1 species
AUUCGCCCUUAGAGUUUGAUCCUGGCUCAGGAUGAACGCUGGCGGCGUGCUUAACACAUGCAAGUCGAACGGGGUACCCCCAAAGGAGUUUUCGGACAACUGCGGGGAAUACCUAGUGGCGGACGGGUGAGUAACGCGUGAGUAACCUGCCUUGGAGUGGGGAAUAACAGCUGGAAACAGCUGCUAAUACCGCAUGAUGCAGUUGGGUCGCAUGGCUCUGACUGCCAAAGAUUUAUCGCUCUGAGAUGGACUCGCGUCUGAUUAGCUAGUUGGUGGGGCAACGGCCCACCAAGGCGACGAUCAGUAGCCGGACUGAGAGGUUGGCCGGCCACAUUGGGACUGAGACACGGCCCAGACUCCUACGGGAGGCAGCAGUGGGGAAUAUUGGGCAAUGGGCGCAAGCCUGACCCAGCAACGCCGCGUGAAGGAAGAAGGCUUUCGGGUUGUAAACUUCUUUUCUCAGGGACGAAGAAAAUGACGGUACCUGAUUAAGAAGCCCCGGCUAACUACGUGCCAGCAGCCGCGGUAAUACGUAGGGGGCAAGCGUUAUCCGGAUUUACUGGGUGUAAAGGGAGCGUAGACGGCAGUGCAAGUCUGGAGUGAAAGGCGGGGGCUCAACCCCCCGGACUGCUCUGGAAACUG